UACGUAGGGUGCGAGCGUUGUCCGGAAUUACUGGGCGUAAAGAGCUCGUAGGCGGUGUGUCACGUCGGCCGUGAAAACCUGCAGCUUAACUGUGGGCGUGCGGUCGAUACGGGCAUCACUGGAGUUCGGCAGGGGAGACUGGAAUUCCUGGUGUAGCGGUGAAAUGCGUAGAUAUCGUGGAGAACACCCGUGGCGAAGGCGGGCUUCUGGCUAAUAACUGACGCUGAGGUGCGAAAGCUAGGGGAGCGAACGGG
rnacentral:rRNA from 1 species